UUUCCGUAGGUGAACCUGCGGAAGGAUCACUAGUGAUUAAAUCGAGAGCGUCUUCAUUGACCUCUCACCCUUCACAUCCACAUACACCUGUGCACCGUUUGGCUCUUAUAAAAGACGCAAGUCUGCAAUGAGAGUCAUCAAUUUUUAUACAUACCCCAGUCUUAUGAAUGUAACAGUUUUAAUAAACAUAAUAAAACUUUUAACAACGGAUCUCUUGGUUCUC
rnacentral:misc_RNA from 1 species